rnacentral:rRNA from 2 species
UGCAGUCGACGAGCUUCCGUUGAUGACGUGCUUGCACUGAUUUCAACAAUGAAGCGAGUGGCGAACUGGUGAGUAACACGUGGGGAAUCUGCCCAGAAGCAGGGGAUAACACUUGGAAACAGGUGCUAAUACCGUAUAACAACAAAAUCCGCAUGGAUUUUGUUUGAAAGGUGGCUUCGGCUAUCACUUCUGGAUGAUCCCGCGGCGUAUUAGUUAGUUGGUGAGGUAAAGGCCCACCAAGACGAUGAUACGUAGCCGACCUGAGAGGGUAAUCGGCCACAUUGGGACUGAGACACGGCCCAAACUCCUACGGGAGGCAGCAGUAGGGAAUCUUCCACAAUGGACGAAAGUCUGAUGGAGCAAUGCCGCGUGAGUGAAGAAGGGUUUCGGCUCGUAAAACUCUGUUGUUAAAGAAGAACACCUUUGAGAGUAACUGUUCAAGGGUUGACGGUAUUUAACCAGAAAGCCACGGCUAACUACGUGCCAGCAGCCGCGGUAAUACGUAGGUGGCAAGCGUUGUCCGGAUUUAUUGGGCGUAAAGCGAGCGCAGGCGGUUUUUUAAGUCUGAUGUGAAAGCCUUCGGCUUAACCGGAGAAGUGCAUCGGAAACUGGGAGACUUGAGUGCAGAAGAGGACAGUGGAACUCCAUGUGUAGCGGUGGAAUGCGUAGAUAUAUGGAAGAACACCAGUGGCGAAGGCGGCUGUCUAGUCUGUAACUGACGCUGAGGCUCGAAAGCAUGGUAGCGAACAGGAUUAGAUACCCUGGUAGUCCAUGCGUAACGAUGAGUGCUAGUGUGAGGGUUUCCGCCUCAGUGCUGCAGCUACGCAUA